AACCCAGGAGGCGGAGGUUUCAGUGAGCCGAGAUCGCACCAUUGCACUCCAAGCUGGGUGACAAGAGCAAAACUCCGUCUCAAAAAAACAAAAAAAGAAAAGAAUCUGGGCUGACUUUGACCAGUAGAAUGUGGUAGAAAUAAAGGGCAAGUUCCAAGCUAGUCCUCAAGAGUCUCUGCACCUAUCUCUCUUGGUGCAGGUGGAACUGUAAGACAACCAUCUGAAGGAGCCCAAGAUAGCCUCCUGGAGGUCUUGUAGAGGAGAACUGAUGCAUGGGAGAGCCCAGAAGAUCAGCAGAACUGUACACCUGAACCUAGCUCAAAUUGUCCAUCUAAGAACUAUAGCAAGUCUGUCAAAGAGAAGACACCUCUGGCUAUGCUAAGCACAUCCAACAAUGAAUGAGGAUGUGAGGUAGACCAGACCCUGGAAUGGUUGUGACUCUCUAAGAUCUUCUGCAAAUAAUGCUGCACUCGUAGCUAAACACAGCUCUACAACAGACGCCUUUUAGCCAACUGACUAAACGCUGGACAUGUUGACUGAGCCCCCAGUUUUUGGAAAUCCCUACUUCCUUGCUCGGAAACCUUGCUGUCUCUUAUUUCCUCUUCUCUAGGCCUUGCUCGGAAACCUUGCUGUCUCUUAUUUCCUCUUCUCUCGGCCACCGGCCAUCGGUGUGGCUGGUCCCCGGGUCCCAGGCUCUGAGCUCUGCUCUUCAUAGAAGAGGCUUUUUCGCCCCAAUGCACUUGAAUGACCUCUUUCAGCCCUGGGCGCUGAGCUUCAGGCCAUGAGGACAAAUACCUCCCGGAUGACUCCCCGGAGUCCCCAGGUCCGCAGCCGAACUCAUCAUUUCCCCAAACCUGUUCCCCCUCCUCUCUACCUCGGCGGGUGGCAGCGCCGUCCACCCUGUCACGACGACAGAAACCCGAGCAUCCUGGCUCUCCUCCCUCUCGCUCUCAUCCUACCAAUCCAUCACCAAUUCGCCGCCCUGCGGUGGCCUCCCCAGCCCUGGGUCCACCCUCCCGGCCCGCGCGUCGCCGG
rnacentral:lncRNA from 1 species